rnacentral:rRNA from 1 species
CUGCCCGCUACACACGUAUAAUAUAAGGAAAUAGUAAAAUAAUUUUAAUUAUUUUAAUGAAAAUUUAGGUUAAAGUAUUAUUAAAAGUUUAUAAUUAAAUAUUAAUAAUUAAUUACAUUGGGUAUAUAAGAAUAAUUUUGACGUAGUACUAAACUAAAAUAUAAUUUAAGUUAUAAAACUUUUAAAAAUAAGAUAAUUUUUUAAGUUGAUGUUGCUAUAUGUUUGAAUGUUAUUCAUCUUAAUUAGCACCUAAUAGUUAAUAAUUUGUCCAAGGAGAUUUAUCUAUAUUAUGAUGGUUUAGAAAAUUUAAAUUUCUUGAAUUGAUUAUGAUUAAUU